rnacentral:sRNA from 1 species
CUCUGGGUCUGCGUCCUCUUCUCACAGGGACAGCAGUCGUUGACUCUCCCUGAUCCAGGAGGGUCUCUCCAGAUCCUUCCCUAACAGCAGAGACCCGGCUUGUGGGGAGGGACUGGGACUCAAGACUUCUUCACCAGCCUGAGGUUGGUGCUGGGGCUUGGCGGCGGCUGUGAGAAUCCUGUGCUGGAGAAAGCGUCUCUCGGCCGGCCUGUCUGGGGCGUCUGUGCCUCUCCUGGAUGGGUCUCAGUUUGGCCCCGUCCAUCCAUCCCAGGAGCUGCGGUGGAGCAGACAGGGAGGGGUGCCCCAGGACCCACAGCCCCGCCACUCCUGUCUUCCUUUAAGUGAACCGGUCGUGUAGAUGGAGGUUGUUCAGAAAGGGAUGAGAUGGGACGGCCGCUGGGCCUCAUCCUCCCGCAGUGACCGCGAAGCAGAGGCCGCUGCGCUUGUGGCAGGGGCUUAGGCCAGGGCAGAGUCGGGCCUCACGUGCAGGGGGCUGAGUGUGGGCCUCAACACUGGACUUGGCCACUGACUGCAGUGAGCCCCAAGAUGGGGCAGGCGGUGGUGUUUCUGUCCUGGAGACCCAGGGUGGCUUGGGUCCUUGGGAUGUGUGGGGACCUCGGGGUGAGGGCCCGUUGGGGCCGGGUGGGCACGGCGGGAGAGCGGGGGCCACACACCCAGAGGCAGUGCCGUGUCCCGGCCGGGAGGGUUCCUGGGAAGCUCUGCUCAGCCCCAGUCUCAAGUCAUUUCUAGAAACUGUGUUUUCCUCCCUGUGACGUCACACGUGAAGGAAACGGAAAAGGGCAGUGAGUCCUUCGCCCCGCGGCGCCGUGCGCACGUCAGCCUUCAGGGUGAUUCCGCUCCUCCAGAGGGGCAGGCGCGGGUGUGGGGGGUGGGGCCCGGGCCCAUCCUGAGGGGUCCCAGGCAUGAGGGGCUCUGAGCUGUGUCCUGGGGGGGUCUGGGCCGUGGGGAGGUUCUGGAUCAUGUCUUGAGGGGUCUGGGCUGUGGGGGGUCCAGGCCAUGUCCUGGGGGUCUGGGCUGUGUCUGUGGGGAGUCAGGGCCAUCCAUGUAUUGGGGGUCUGGGGCGGGGGGGGUCAGGCUGUCUUGGGGAGUCCGGGCUGUGUGGAGGGGUCCAAGCUAUGCCUUUGGGGAUCAGGCCUGUGGGAGGCUCUGGGUUAUGUCUUGGCGGGGGUCCAGGCCGUGUCUUGGGGGCUGGGCCACGUUCUGGGGACGUGUGAAUCCUGGAGGGUGGGGCCCCGGUCUCGCGGGAGGCUGUGUCCCUCGAGUUCAGGCAGCACCUCUCGGAACUUUCUCGAUCUGCGUGCUGGCGUCUGUCGGCCUCGAUACCCACAGGCUGCGCCCCUCUCAGCACAGGAAGUCCUGGAGAACCUGAAGGACCGCUGGUACCAGGCGGACAGCCCCCCUGCGGACCUGCUGCUGACGGAGGAGGAGUUCCUGUCAUUCCUCCACCCCGAGCACAGCCGGGGAAUGCUCAGGUUCAUGGUGAAGGAGAUCGUCCGGGACCUGGGUGAGGCUGGGUCCAGCCUGGCCAGCACGCCAGGGCCCGGGACCGACUGGCAGGGGCCGGGCAUCGUCGGGAGGUCGGGGCAGGUCCUGCGGGAGCCCCAGCCUGGGUGUGGGCUGACCCAUUCCCGUCUCGCAGACCAGGACGGUGACAAGCAGCUCUCUCUGCCCGAGUUCAUCUCCCUGCCUGUGGGCACCGUGGAGAACCAGCAGGGCCAGGACAUUGACGACAACUGGGUGAAAGACAGAAAAAAGGAGUUUGAGGAGCUCAUUGACUCCAACCACGACGGCAUCGUGACCGCCGAGGAGCUGGAGAGCUACAUGGACCCCAUGAACGAGUACAACGCGCUGAACGAGGCCAAGCAGAUGAUCGCCGUCGCCGACGAGAACCAGAACCACCACCUGGAGCCCGAGGAGGUGCUCAAGUACAGCGAGUUCUUCACGGGCAGCAAGCUGGUGGACUACGCGCGCAGCGUGCACGAGGAGUUCUGAGCGCCCGGCCGCGCCCCGCGCCGCCCCCCACGCACCACCGGCGCGGCCCCGCGGGUGACUCCGGGCUCCGUGGCUGUCCCUCCGUGGCUGUCCCGGGCCCCACCUCCUCCCUGCCGCCCGCCACCGGCCGACCGCCCGCGGCUGCCCCGGCUGAUGAGCGGCGCGUCCCCUCUGCAGCGCGCACCCCGGCGGGGCUUCGGCUGUGACGCGGCCGGGGCGCGGGGCGGGGCGCGGGGCUGGGCUGUGGCCCCGCGGCGCCGCCUCCUCCCUGGUCCCUCGAAAUCGUUGCAUCUCACUUCUGAGAACGAAAUCUCGCUUCACUCACUCUGCCGAAGGCGCUGACGGCAUCGCGGCCGGAACCUCUGGGCCCGGCCCCUCCCAGGGCCGCCGCUCCGUGGGAAAUAACAGCUCCUCCAUUUCCUUGAAAACUGAACGAUUAUUAAAAAUAGAUUAAACUUCGCUGGAAAUGAGUAGCCAGGAAGUUCAGGGGAGGGUGCCGGGUCCUUCCCGGGCCUGGCGUGUCGGAGCCACCCAGGUCCCGCAGCUGCCGCUGAGAAAAUGCAAAUAUUUGUUGUGACAAGAAUCACAUUAAUUUACUUUAAAU